rnacentral:misc_RNA from 1 species
AGUCGUAACAAGGUCUCCGUUGGUGAACCAGCGGAGGGAUCAUUACAGAGUUGCAAAACUCCCCAAACCAUUGUGAACCUUACCUUCAACCGUUGCUUCGGCGGGCGGGCCACAGCGCCCCCCCGGCCCCCCCCAGCGGGGCGCCCGCCGGAGGAUACCCAAACUCUUGAUACUUUAUGGCCUCUCUGAGUCUUCUGUACUGAAUAAGUCAAAACUUUCAACAACGGAUCUCUUGGUUCUGGCAUCGAUGAAGAACGCAGCGAAAUGCGAUAAGUAAUGUGAAUUGCAGAAUUCAGUGAAUCAUCGAAUCUUUGAACGCACAUUGCGCCCGCCAGUAUUCUGGCGGGCAUGCCUGUUCGAGCGUCAUUUCAACCAUCAAGCCCCCGGGCUUGUGUUGGGGACCUGCGGCUGCCCGCAGGCCCUGAAAACCAGUGGCGGGCUCGCUGUCACACCGAGCGUAGUAGCAUCAUCUCGCUCAGGGCGUGCUGCGGGUUCCGGCCGUUAAAAGCCUCUAAUACCCAAGGUUGACCUCGGAUCAGGUAGGAAGACCCGCUGAACUUAAGCAUAUCAAUAAGCGGAGGAAAAGAAACCAACAGGGAUUGCCCUAGUAACGGCGAGUGAAGCGGCAACAGCUCAAAUUUGAAAUCUGGCUUCGGCCCGAGUUGUAAUUUGCAGAGGAAGCUUUAGGCGCGGCACCUCCUGAGUC